rnacentral:rRNA from 1 species
AGCGCAGGCGGGAAACUAAGCGGAUCUUAAAAAGUGCGGGGCUCAACCCCGUGAUGGGGUCCGAACUGGUUUUCUUGAGUGCAGGAGAGGAAAGCGGAAUUCCCAGUGUAGCGGUGAAAUGCGUAGAUAUUGGGAAGAACACCAGUGGCGAAGGCGGCUUUCUGGACUGUAACUGACACUGAGGCACGAAAGCGUGGGGAGCAAACA